GGCAAAUUAUAUGGAAUCAAGAUAACAGGCCAUGUGCUAUGUGAGAUAGACAUAGACUUAAAUGGACUAAAGCCAUCUGAAGCCAAUCCAAGUCUAACAUUUUGAGGAUCUCGAGCAAAAUCUGUAUGUGCUUCAUCAAAUUUCCUCCAAGCAAUACUGUCUGCAGGAUGUCGCAUUACCCCAUCUCUAGUGCGACCUUCAG
rnacentral:lncRNA from 1 species